GUUUACCUUGGUAGCGCAUACCCCGAAGUUGUAAUGAUACAGAGAAACAUCAUAGCCUCUGUACAAGGAUUACACACAAAGUUGCAAAGCAUUCCGUAUUUUA